AAAGGGCAGCGACUCGGCGACGAGAAGCGAAUCCCGCAAACCUGGCCUCAGUUCGGAUUGCAGGCUGCAACCCGCCUGCAUGAA
rnacentral:rRNA from 1 species